AAAUGUAGUUGAUGCAAUGAAUGUAUUGGAACCAAGUCAGAAUCGGAAGAUAGCAGCUUUAACAAUCAACAUUCAUGUGCAUCUUUUUUAGUAGGU
rnacentral:SRP_RNA from 1 species